CUACGGGCGGCAGCAGUGGGGAAUAUUGCACAAUGGGCGCAAGCCUGAUGCAGCAACGCCGCGUGAGGGAUGAAGGCCUUCGGGUCGUAAACCUCUUUUAGCAGGGAAGAAGCGAAAGUGACGGUACCUGCAGAAAAAGCACCGGCUAACUACGUGCCAGCAGCCGCGGUAAUACGUAGGGUGCAAGCGUUGUCCGGAAUUAUUGGGCGUAAAGAGCUCGUAGGCGGUUUGUCACGUCUGCUGUGAAAAUCCAAGGCUCAACCUUGGACUUGCAGUGGGUACGGGCAGGCUAGAGUGCGGUAGGGGGGAUGGGAAUUCCUGGUGUAGCGGUGGAAUGCGCAGAUAUCAGGAGGAACACCAAUGGCGAAGGCACAUCUCUGGGCCGUAACUGACGCUGAGGAGCGAAAGCGUGGGGAGCGAACAGGAUUAGAUACCCCUGUAGUC
rnacentral:rRNA from 1 species